GCCGCAGCCCGCUUGGGCCCCACCGCCUGGCGCGCUUUUACGCCCGCACACGCGCCCUGGCCCGCGCCGGGCCCACCCUGCCCUUCGCAAGCCGCACGAUGUGACAGAGCGCGCAUCCCUGCCGUCCACGCGCCCGCGCGACGCUGGCCACGAGUUCCCGUGCGGCGAUCGGACGGUGCCGAUGGCGAGGCCGGAGCGCGGGCAGAACGGACGGCACGGGAUCGCGUCGCGAUGAGGGUCACGGCAGAGGAAAUGGCGGCCACAGGUUCGCUGUUCGGCGUUCGCCGGCGCCCGGGAAAAAGCGCAAGGCGAGCCACUAGAUCGCCGCCAGGAGGGUCCCUGCUGAAGCCUGGAUUUGCCUGUGGCUACCGUGGAUGUCCGUUUUCUGGCUGCAUUUUACUGUUCACAGAACAGUUUUGAUUAAUUGGGCGUGCUGUUUAAUAUCUAUCUAUUUAUUUGUUCUUGAGAAGGAAAUGCUCCGAGAGAAGGGAACAUGAAUUUCCGUAUUUGUUUACCAACCAGCACACCUAUUUAAAUCUGAAAAAUAUAGAAAUCAUU
rnacentral:lncRNA from 7 species